UACGUAGGGCGCAAGCGUUGUCCGGAAUUAUUGGGCGUAAAGAGCUCGUAGGCGGCUUGUCACGUCGGAUGUGAAAGCCCGGGGCUUAACCCCGGGUCUGCAUUCGAUACGGGCUAGCUAGAGUGUGGUAGGGGAGAUCGGAAUUCCUGGUGUAGCGGUGAAAUGCGCAGAUAUCAGGAGGAACACCGGUGGCGAAGGCGGAUCUCUGGGCCAUUACUGACGCUGAGGAGCGAAAGCAUGGGGAGCGAACAGG
rnacentral:rRNA from 1 species